GCUCUUGCAUCGAUGAAGAACGUAGCGAAAUGCGAUACUUGGUGUGAAUUGCAGAAUCCCGUGAACCAUCGAGUCUUUGAACGCAAGUUGCGCCCGAAGCCAUUAGGCCGAGGGCACGCCUGCCUGGGUGUUGCACAUCGUUGCCCCCGUGCCUUGGCCACAU
rnacentral:rRNA from 5 species